rnacentral:lncRNA from 1 species
AAAUUUUAUUAUAAAACAUACAUUAACAAUUCAGUGGUACUAAGUACACUUAACAGUUACCACCAUCUGCCUCCAGAACUUUGUCAUCAUCCCAAAGAGAAACUUAAUACUCUCUAAUCCAUUUCCCUCUUCCCCUGACCACCUCUCUUCUACUUUCUACAAAUUCGCCUCUUCUAGGUACCUGAUGUAAGUGAAAUUAGACAAUAUUUGUCCUUUUAUGUGUGGCCAUUUUCACUUUAGCAUAAUGUUUUCAAGGUACAUCCAUAUUGCAUGUAGCAUGGGUCAGAAUCUCCUUCCUUUUUAUGGCCGAAUAAUAAUUCCACUGUGUGGAUAAAGCACAUUUUGUUUAUCCAUUCUUCUCUUGAUAGACACUUGAGUUGUUUCCACCUCUGAGCUAUGUGAAUAGUGCUGCUAUGAACAUUGGUUUACAAGUUCAUAUUUUACUUUCAUAUUUGGAGUCUAUACCCAGAAGUAAAAUUCCUGGAUCAUAUGGUAAUCCUACGUUUAACUUCUUGAGGAACUGCCACUUUUCUAUAGUGCCUGUACCAUUUUAUAUUCCUACCAGCAAUACGUAGGUUACAGUUUUUCCACAUCCUGAUCAACACUUGUUAUUUUCCAUUUUUUGAUAAUCAUCUUAAUGAGUAUGGAGUGGUAUCUUAUUGUGAUUUUGAUUUGCAUUACCUUAAUGGGAUGCAAUAUAAGUGAUGUUGGGCACCUCCCCAUAUGCUUACUGGUCAUCUGUAUAUCUUUUUACAGAGGAGGAAUCCAUUCCAGUCCUUAACCUAUUUUCAAAUUAGGUUGCUUCAUUUGUUGUUGAGUUGGCUCAACUGAUUUUUCAAAGGUUCAAAAGCAAUUCAGUGGAAGAAGGAUACCUUUCAACAAUGGUGCUGGAGCAACUGGACAUCCAUAAGCUAAGGAGGAGGUUGGGGGAAAACCUCAAUCAUACAAAGAUAAUGUCCAAUCAUGACAUAAAACUCUUAACACUUUUAGAAAAUCAGAGGGAAAAUCUUUGGGAUCCAGGGGUAGGCAAAGAGUUCUUAUAAAAGCAUGAUCCAAAAAAGAUUGAUAAACUGAACUUCAUCAAAACCAAAAACCUCUGUUCUGUGAAAGCCCACAUGAAGAAAAUUAAAAGACAAGCUACAGAUUGGAAGGCAAUAUUUACAGGCCGCAUAUCCAACAAAGGACUGGUAUCUAGAAUAUACAAAGAAUUCUCAAAACUCAACAGAUACGGGGCAAAAGACAUAAAUACCAAAAGAUAGACAGCAAAUAAGCACAUGAAAAAAAUGUACUAUAUCCUUACCUAUCAUGCAUAUUAGAAUCACAAUAAGUUAUCACCACAGACCUACUAGAAUGACUAACACAAAAUAGUA